GAGCACAUUGGCCAGCAGCGACUUGGAAGAGCUUCAAAAUAGAAAUCACAUUUAGCAUAUAAACAGAUCGUCUGCAUAUAUAUGUAUAUAGAAAGAGAGCGAGAUAUAUAUUUAGAUAGAGAAAGUAUAUUUGGUAAAGCGUGUGAAGAGUAGAAGAGUAUUGAAAAGCGUUAAGAAAUCUGAGAAAAGUUUCAUGUCUAUGUGUGUGUGUAUUGCUUAGAUUAUGAAUAGGUUGAAUAGCUGAUAGGAGAGUACGAAAUGAUGUAUGCAUUAGGUAUGAAAACUUUAAGAGGCUGUGUGCAUGCUGUGGUUUUCUUCAAGUGUAGUCAAAAAGUUCUCAGUGGGAGUGGGAGUGGCAGUGGGAGUAGCUGUGCGAGGGGGUGUGCGAGUGUGUGGACGUGUGUAUACUUUUAUGCCCUACUGUAGUUUCUGGACGAAAAGUUUUAUUUGCAUACGAGCGAGUAACUAAUUUGAAGUAAGCGCCGAGACAAACAUGUUUCCACAAACUUUUAUCACUUUUGCUUGAGUUGCUCGAGCAACAAGCAAAAGUUAGUUAAAGCAAUGCAAACGCUUAACGCUCACAAUUUGAGGGCUGAUUUUUGAAGACCCAGCAUAGCUAUCAAAUCUAUUUAUCUAUCUAUUUUUAGAUGUGUGUGUGUAU